ACUCUGACUGGCUUUCUCACAUUGCAGUCACCUCUUCCCCUUUCUUUCCAAAACGCACACAUCUACUUUCCAAAAUAGACCACAACUAUUUCUAUUGAGCUGGAAGAAGCUUGUACCAGGCAACCCAUUUAGGAGCAGCUGGAUGGAGAGGGAGAUGCUACUUAUCACAUCGGUGUGUGUCUUAUGGAUGCAAUGGCCACAGGUGAAUGGACAACAGAUAAUACAAAUUCCUCAUUUCCAGCAUGUACAAGAAGACGAGGACUUCACCAUAUACUGCAAUUCCUCAACCACUUUAGACAAUAUACAGUGGUAUAAGCAAAGGCCUGGGGGACAUCCUGUCUUCUUGAUAAGGUUAGUGAAGAGUGGAGAAGUGAUGAAGCAGAAAAGACUGACAUUUCAGUUUGGAGAAGCAAGAAAGAACAGCUCCCUGCACAUCACAGCCACCCAGACUACAGAUGUAGGAACCUACUUCUGCGCAGGGCACAGUGCUUCCCAACCACCUGCUGCCUGCCUUUAAAUCUUGCCCUGGGUCUUCAAGAGCAGGCCAUCCUACUCUCCCCGAAGAGCAGGAGGCAGAGAAAGCCUAAGUCACAAUGCCUGUGAGGAUC